GAAAUUUAAACCCAUAAUCUGCACCUCCUUCACCCAAACAUCCUAGCAAGAGGGGCCGGAUUGGGCGACUUUUCUUUCUCAUUUAGCAAAAACUUCAGCCACCUUGGUUUCACUCUGUGCCAGGAAAAAAGACAGAUCUCGUCCUUGCCCCUGGAGAGUUUCCAGCCUCAAAGAGAAGGCCGACUCAGGGUUCAAUUACAAGGUGGGUGAGUGUUGUUGCUGGACUGUGUGGGGGGAGGGGGAGGAGGGGGCUCACCUAGCCUAGGCGUGGAGCGUGGAGCGAGACCUCCCUGGGGAGGUGACAUUUUGACGUUUAAGGCAAAACCUAAGGACAGGUAGGAGAACGCGGGGGCAGGCCAGGCCGUGCUCUGGGCGGCCAAGGGGAGGAGAGCCGGGAGAAGGGUGCCCAGGUUGAGCCAGAAGUCCCUGCCAGUGUGGCCAGCGGUGGCUACAGCAGUCAGGAUUUGGGGUUGUGCAGCGGCAGUGGGGCCCCACCGAGGGGUUUCCCUACUUGGCCUUUCCCACUGUCCGUUCCCGACGCCCCCGCUGCCACCUGCUCUGUCCUGGGCACACCUUCCGGUGCAUUUCGGCAGCGGUCGGCCACCCCGUGGGCCGCGGCGCGGAGCCCGGCUGCGGGGGCCCCGGGCUCCGGCAGCAGGUUGACCUGCGAAGCAAGGGACACCAACAAGGAGCAUGACAGCUUUUCUGGGCCCCCUCCUGGAGUCUUGAUGCUGGUGCCUCUACGAGAAAACCCAGUGAAAACAAGAAAGCAGAGCCAUGCUGGCCUGGGAAUGUAAGGGGCUGCACGUAAUGCUCCCAUUCUCCCACCGACUCUUUCCACCAAACUUUGCUUUCCAGACCCAUGAAACUUCCAGUAGCAAAAUUUAAGAACAGGUGUGAGUUUGUUUUUUUUUUAAAUAAGCAGGGAUUCACUUUCCCUAAGCACGGGAGUCUCAGUUCCUAGGAGAAAAUGCCCCGGUUGGCUGAGAGAGAAGAGAAAAUUCAGUUAUUAUGUGUCUCAUCUGCCCCUUUUCAUGGCGUUUGCAGCCACAAGGGGAGGACCCGUUGGUGCUGGGUGUUACCGAAGUGGCUGUAAUUUACACUGAGU
rnacentral:lncRNA from 1 species